GGGACUGGCGGCGUGCUAUACAUGCAAGUCGAACGAGUUCUGAUUAUUGAAAGGUGCUUGCAUCUUGAUUUAAUUUUGAACGAGUGGCGGACGGGUGAGUAACACGUGGGUAACCUGCCCUUAAGUGGGGGAUAACAUUUGGAAACAGAUGCUAAUACCGCAUAAAUCCAAGAACCGCAUGGUUCUUGGCUGAAAGAUGGCGUAAGCUAUCGCUUUUGGAUGGACCCGCGGCGUAUUAGCUAGUUGGUGAGGUAACGGCUCACCAAGGCAAUGAUACGUAGCCGAACUGAGAGGUUGAUCGGCCACAUUGGGACUGAGACACGGCCCAAACUCCUACGGGAGGCAGCAGUAGGGAAUCUUCCACAAUGGACGCAAGUCUGAUGGAGCAACGCCGCGUGAGUGAAGAAGGCUUUCGGGUCGUAAAACUCUGUUGUUGGAGAAGAAUGGUCGGCAGAGUAACUGUUGUCGGCGUGACGGUAUCCAACCAGAAAGCCACGGCUAACUACGUGCCAGCAGCCGCGGUAAUACGUAGGUGGCAAGCGUUAUCCGGAUUUAUUGGGCGUAAAGCGAGCGCAGGCGGUUUUUUAAGUCUGAUGUGAAAGCCCUCGGCUUAACCGAGGAAGUGCAUCGGAAACUGGGAAACUUGAGUGCAGAAGAGGACAGUGGAACUCCAUGUGUAGCGGUGAAAUGCGUAGAUAUAUGGAAGAACACCAGUGGCGAAGGCGGCUGUCUGGUCUGUAACUGACACUGAGGCUCCAAAGCAUGGGUAGCGAACACGAUUAGAUACCCUGGUAGUCCAUGCCCUAAACGAUUAAUGCGACGUGUUUGGAGGAGUUUCCUCCCCUCCAUUGCCGCAGCCAACCCAUUAAGACAUUCCCGCCGGCGUGAGUAACUACCACCAGGGUUGGAACCUCGACCGCAAUUGAUUUGGGGCCCGCACCAACCGAAUGAG
rnacentral:rRNA from 2 species